rnacentral:rRNA from 1 species
UACGUAGGUGGCAAGCGUUGUCCGGAUUUACUGGGCGUAAAGAGCGCGCAGGCGGUCGUUCAAGUCGAGUGUGAAAGCCCCCGGCUCAACUGGGGAGGGUCAUUCGAUACUGAUCGACUCGAAGGCAGGAGAGGGAAGUGGAAUUCCCGGUGUAGUGGUGAAAUGCGUAGAUAUCUGGAGGAAUACCGGUGGCGAAGGCGGCAUCCUGGACCGACAUUGACGCUGAGGAGCGAAAGCUAGGGGAGCAAACGGG